rnacentral:rRNA from 1 species
GAUGAACGCUGGCGGCGUGCCUAAUACAUGCAAGUCGAGCGAACAGACGAGGAGCUUGCUCCUUCGACGUUAGCGGCGGACGGGUGAGUAACACGUAGGUACCCUACCUAUAAGACUGGGAUAACUUCGGGAAACCGGAGCUAAUACCGGAUAAUAUUUCGAACCGCAUGGUUCGAUAGUGAAAUAUGGCUUUGCUAUCACUUAUAGAUGGACCUGCGCCGUAUUAGCUAGUUGGUAAGGUAACGGCUUACCAAGGCAACGAUACGUAGCCGACCUGAGAGGGUGAUCGGCCACACUGGAACUGAGACACGGUCCAGACUCCUACGGGAGGCAGCAGUAGGGAAUCUUCCGCAAUGGGCGAAAGCCUGACGGAGCAACGCCGCGUGAGUGAUGAAGGUCUUCGGAUCGUAAAACUCUGUUAUUAGGGAAGAACAAACGUGUAAGUAACUGUGCACGUCUUGACGGUACCUAAUCAGAAAGCCACGGCUAACUACGUG